CCUCAUAGACUUGCUGUGGACAGAUGAAAUGAAUAUGAGUAUCAAAUCCACCAGCCGUGAUAAUCUUUCCCUCUCCAGCAAUGACAUCCGUGCAAGAACCAACAAUCAUGCCUUCCGUCACUCCAUCCAUAACGUCUGGAUUUCCCGCCUUUCCAAUACCCACAAUCAUUCCGUUCUUCACUCCAAUAUCUGCUUUAUAGAUACCAGUCCAAUCCACAAUUAAAGCAUUGACGAUAACCAUGUCAAGGGAUACUUCGUCAGAAACACCUGUAGCUUGACCCAUACCUUCUCGAAG
rnacentral:sRNA from 1 species